AGAGGAGUCUAAGCCAGAUCUCCAAAUGCCAGGAGCAGAACUGUUGGCCCCUGCGUUCUUCAAUCUGAAGCCUGUGCUUAAUGUUCCAGUAAGAGAGACUAAGUGAGACUACAGUUAUUUAAAUCCCGACUUCCUGAUUAUAAUGGCCAAGAAAUGAUAUUUCUAUGCGUAUUUUUAACACAAUCAUAGUAUUUCGUUUUUUAAAGGCCAUUUAUUAUUAAUACCAGUAUACUGCAGCAGCCCUAGUUACCUCUGAGAAAAAAGAGACCAUUGACUGACAUUUCAAGUACCUAUUUAGUUAAAUCCCUGAAAAACAUACAGGUGCACAAAUCCUUGCAAACUCACCCAGCCCUCUCACACAACCUUGCACACCCGCAGUCACCAGGGCGCACACGGAUAACCUUGCCACAGUGAAUGUUUCAAUAGUUCAUCUGCAGUUUCCUUUUUCUCCAUCUCAGCUGUGGGAGGGGAGGGGGGGACUGCCUCUAUCCACAAGGAUUCACCUGAAAGACUUCCUGCCUCGCCUCAGACCCUCCUCAGGUCUGCGGCUCAGAGAGCACUACCCUUGAAAUAUGUAUGAUUUACAGAAAAAGAAAAAAGGUCAAGAAAUGGGAGGAUGGGCUGACGGGGCCGGAUGACACAGCAUUGACUGCACACUACACUGUGACAUGCUAGUUAUUCACAUUAGAUCAAGGUUAUGAGUUAGUUACUCACAUUAGAUGAGAUUUUGCCCGUCACAGAUCAAGGUAUACUUUCAUCUUGGCUCUCAUAGCAGGAGACAUGAGUUUGACAGUAACAGUGAGAGUACAUAUGAGGCACUCGGUCGAUGAAACUUCAAAGAACAUGCCCUUCUCUCUCUCUCUCCUUCUCUCUCUCUUCCAUAGCUCUGUAUUGCAGUGCAGCACAGCAGCUCUCUGCAGAUAGGCUAAUAUGCAGAAGGCAAAAUAGCAGCUGAUCACACUAUGAGUACUAGGAUAGGAACAUUGAAUUCUUCCAUUUUGAAAGUCAAAUUAAUACUUUUCAGGCUCUAGCUGCCCUUGUGAGUCGAGUUGAUAGUGAUGUUUUCAAAAGAGGUUCAUAGACUUUUUUCUGUGGAGCUUCCAGUUCUAGUAUAAAUAAAGUUCAGCUCAGCAGACUCAGUGCACACAAGAAAUUAAAAUUCAGAGUUUGCAUACAACUCCCUCAGGGGCAUGCUGAAAGGGGGGAAAGGGGGGACUAGCCCCAUUUUGCAAUCCGAUCAGCCACCUCAAACACCCCAAAGUCUAUUAAUUGGGUAUUUGCGUUGUCAGAAGUUGAAAUGAACUUACUGGGCUGUGCUCCCUUUAGCUUUUUUAACAUUACAAGGAGGGAUGCACAGUAUUGGAUUUUUGCCAUUAUCCAAAAUGCCAUUAAAAUAAAACUUCAGUGUUUUUAGUGUUAAGAAAACCAAGUCUCUCCUGCUCUAUAAUUUAUUUGUUACUUUUAUUGUCUCUUUGUUUUUGAGGCAAAAAUAAAACACGAUCAACAACAUUUUAUCCCUCCAUAAAUUAACUGUUUUCUCCAGGUGCUGGAUUGUUCUUUAUAUGUCGACUUAAACUCGUAGUACAGUUGAUUUUCUUCUCCUCCCACCAUCUGUGCCUCACACAGAGACUGCAAACAGCCAUUUUGCUGCCUGUUUCUGACACUUUGUAUACUUCCAUACAGCCCACAUGUUGGAGCUUGCUGUUUGUGUACAUAGGCUGUCAUUAUGCGGGUAUAAAUGGAUCAACACCGUAACUUUCUAAGCUACUGUCUGCCAAUAAAACCAAUAUUGUAGUGAUAAUAUCCUGCUUCUUUAGUUCAAAUUGAGCAGUUCUAUUUUAACUCUAAGCUUUAUAAAGUAAUGCCAUUAUUGGUAAAUAAUGUUCCUACUAAAAAACAGUUUUUUUUACAAUGAGUUGGUUGCAGAAUGAGACAGUUUUCCCUCACAAAUCUCAACUCUUCAGAUUUGUUUUUUCACAGCUCGCUGCUCAGCUGCAGAAGAUCAAAUCCUCAGCCAUUUUGUCAGUUUAAGUUUGACUUUGGUUUUCGGUGGCAUGAAACACAAGGACACAUGUCCACGAGUCAGCACAAGCUCUGCAAAAUGUUUCCUUUCAUCUCCUCUCACUGUCAUGCAAAUGUGAACAUGGAGGAAGCUUGGUAGAAACACAGUGAUGUGGAAGAAGUCCCACAGAGGCUGGGUGGUGGGAACUGGAGGAUAAAAAUCCACUUUGGAGAAAGUUGCACUGUGUUCUGGAUUGCUAAAAGGAGGUUUUGGUUAUGGUGCCCUCAUUCUAUCAAAUGCUCUUGGUUGGGAAAAUCUCACUGAUUAUUUUUUUGUGUUUAAUUUUCUCUUUUAGGAGGGUAAUAUUGUCAAAAUUACCUUUAACUUUUGGUAAAUGCUUUGUUAAUUUUCAUGCCAGUUUUUUUUUUUGUUUGUUUUGUUUUAUUUUCAUUUAUCUUUUGUUUUCUUUUAUUCUUAUUUUUUAAUUUCUAAGUUCAAGCCAAGCUUGUGGUAUGGAUAAACUCACAGCGGAGCUGCUGCAUUAUGUGAUAGGAGCACCCUUAGUUUUGUUGUGUUGGGAAGCAAACUCAUUAAUGAAAAUUACAACCAUGAAUGUUUGUCAAGGAUGCCUUCUCUCCAUGACGAAGACAAGUUAAAAUAACCAAUAACAAAAACUGUUGAUCAUUUAUUUUCAUUAACGAGACAAUGAUAAGACAAAGUUGUUAUAGGUGAACCACCUGACAUUUGAAAUGCCUAAUCUUUUAACAUUGUCUAUCUAACUCCUCCCCUCAAUAUGAGCAGUGACUCCUUUACCAAGUUUAGGGUUGCAGUGUUGAUUUUGUUAUUUUACUGCAAAAUUUUAAUUGUUAGUUCAUCACUCUCUGCCUCCAUGCUUCUCCUAUUUAAUCUUGAAACGUUUCCUGAUAUGUGUUAAUAAUAAACAGUCACCAGAAAUUUUUUUUCGAGAACUUUUGAUCAAGCAACUAAAUCAUUGAAGAUGGAGAUGCAGAUUAGAGUGCGGCAAACUGCGUGUCUGUCCAGGGGUGUUUCUUGGGCUACCCAAGGGGCUGGGCCUGGAUCCCCUUAACCCACCCCACAAAAAGAAAUGAAUGUCGAAGAAAACAAAGUUUUCAAAGUUUAGCCAGUUAUAAAGUGGCUAAAGAAAGAAUAACUCAAUUGGAGCGAAGAUCAGUUACUUCUUUGCCUUAAUAGAUCAGCAGGGACAGCAACGAAGCAUUGCAUUGUGGGAGAAUCUGAACUAAAUCACCCAGUUUAAGUCAAGAUAUUGGUAUUAUAACAGCUAAAGUAUUUAGGGUCAUAUCUCUAGGCCGAACUUAGUACCAAUGAUUGUCUGAUUGUUUGAACUCGUAUCAAACCAAAAUAAAGUUUUGACUGCAAUGUAGUCACUUUUUAUUGACCACAGCUAGACUACAAUGUUUAGACGAAGUAGACGAAAACUAUUCAGGGCACAAAGGGGACAAAAACAUAAAGGCGGUUGAACCCAAAGACUGAAACCAGGACGAAAAUGGCUGCCAAAAUUUGACACUGAUCGGCUGUAGCCUUUGGUCUGUCUAUAAGUCUAUGCUUUGCUAUUAACUGUGUGUUUGUUUUGUGCAUUUUAAGACGAUUUAAGAUUUGUUUGACUGUAAUAUGGAAAAAAUAUGAUUAUUCUGGUUAACAGAUCUCCUACAUUUGCCCCUGGACUUGAUUAGUAUGUUUGUAAAACAUAUAUUUCUAUUACAUAACAUUUAUUCAUUCUGUUGAGGAAACAUUACUGAUUCACUCUGUGGGGAAUAUUUCCCUCCUUCUUUUAAGGGUAAAACACAUGCAAACAUAUAGUUUCCACAAGCGUUCAGGCCCUCACACUUGCUGUGUUGACAGCUUCUCUUCCUGUUUGACUGAACAAAACUGAGCAGCAUGUGGACGCCUCCGCUGCUCAUACAUUAGAGGAUCUCUUUCCUAAGUGAUGGACGGAGGUGCCAAUAAAGUAGAGCAGGGUUGUUUGAAAAGCAAGAAAAAGCCCAAGUCAGCUAUAUCAUUUGUCAAAAUGCUAACAAAACAUGAAGAAAGAAACCUGACAAAACUCUGCCUUUCCGGUUUCCACUGUCUGUCUCUGACACCAGAUCUCCUUGUUGUAACCUUCACACAGAUACCUGGUUAAGUUUGACAAGUGAGUUGAAGGAGAAAUCAUGCACACACAGGCUAUAGUACACACUUAUACACUCCUCUCAGUCGGGGAUCCCUGAAGACCUGCUGUCUGUGGAGGGGCAGGGGAAGCUAUGGAAUAUAGGGACCAAGUGUGUCCUUGUGUCAAUGUACGUGUGCCAUCCUUUCCUCGGAGAGAGUCAUUACGCACUCUCCCGCUCUGGGAAUUGACAUUUUCCUCCCUCACUUCUCAUUUUCUCAGACAAUGCUGUGGCUUUCUUGUCACAACACACACCCGCUUCUUUAAAAGAGUGCGUAAAGUUUGCACACACUCACCGGGGUCUGCACAUGCACACACAUGCUAUUCCUGCAACUUUUAGUAGGCCAACCCCUUAAGGGUGGCCCAAACUUAAACCCAGGUAAGAACACGAUGCAUAUUUCUAGAUACAUGCAGCUUAAUGAGGCAAAGAACAAAAAGAUCACAUUCUCGUGUACCUACGGUUUCUAAUUAAAGGAAAUACCUCAUUUUCCUCUCAUACCUAUUCAUGACUGAAAUAGACAUUGAAGAGGGAAAAAAAGAGCCUUUAAGUACAAAGUAGGGUUGUACUCUGCCUCAGGUGAUUUGUCUCUGCCCCAGGGCUCGGGCCCACUCACUCUUCAGUAGAGAUUUUUCAGAUACAGAGUCAUUUCUAUCCCUCUGUCUGCUCUUAUUAAGGAAGCAUCAGAAAGAAAAAGAAAGAGAGGGAAAUGAGCAGAAACCAAAGUCCUGGUCCUGCUCAGAAACGACAGCCUCUUUGACUCAGCGUUCUGGGCAGCAGUGACUUGUAGGACUUUUUUUUUUAAUCACACACCUGUCAGCUCUGGAGGACUGUAACGUGAGUCAUGCCCGGGGUGAAGAUCACACAGAGUAGCGAGCUAGAAGCCCAGAGCUGGCGUGUAGGGCCUUGAGGGAAAAGGGGGCUGUUUGUUAGAUGGGGGUUAGGGACAACAGGCACAAAGCUCUGUUAGCGACAGACAGUUAGCGUGUGUCAGGGACACUCACUGGAGGCGCUGAACAUGUCAAGGAAAAGAUAAAUAAUCUGCAGCACAUGUGAUAGAAAUCCCAUGAGAUGAUGCAGUGGCGGAUGUACGGCACAGGAUGUAAACACAGAAUGCACUUCAGAGCUAAAAAUACAGAGGUUGAUCAGGCUGCCUUUGGGGAUGAGAUGCUCAGGAAACAUGUCUCCAAUAAAACCCCAGCUUCCUCCUACCAUCGGUCAGGAUCAGUGGCAGAGAGGUGGGGUUGGGGCGAGUCUUUGGCCCUCUGGCAAAUAGCAACAAUGUUCCCAUCUGUCUGUCAAUUCAACCGCACCCUUAACUAUUUAUUCAAGAUAAGAUAAGAUCUUUGAGGAGUAAUUCUAUAUUUAUUGUUUUAUCAUUAUUAUAUUUGAUAUUUAUAAUCAGAUACGUGCCUAGUCUGUUUUCAGUGAAGCCUACAUCCAUCACACAGGUGAACAGAGAAGACUGACCUACAAAUCAUUGCUUACUGUUAGGAUGAAUUUCUUUAGCCAGUCAUGUCAUCUUUAAUAAUAAUAAUAAAUGAAUAAUAAUACAUUUUAUUUGAAGCGCCUUUCACGUCAGUCAAGGACACUUUACAGAACAUAUAAAAACAAUAAUAAAACACUAUUAACAAUUAAAAUCAUUAAUCAUCAAACAGUUAAAAUCAACAAAGCAACAUUAAACAUGAACAACAGCAAAGGAAUAAAUAAAGAAAUUAAUAAUACCAAUUGAAAUUUAAUUUAAAAAAGUGGGUUAGGGGUGGUGGGAGGGAUAGGCCAGUUUAAACAGGUGUGUUUUGAGUUUGGACUUGAAGAGGGGGAGGGAGUCUAUGUUGCGGAUGUGUGAUGGUAAAGAGUUCCAGAGUCGGGGGGCAGAGCGACUGAAAGCUCUGCCCCCCAUAGUGCUGAGGUGAACAGGGGGCACAGAGAGGUGGAGAGAGGAAGAGGAACGGAGGUGGCGUGUUGGAGUGGCGAUGUGGAGGAGGUCAGAUAGGUAAGGAGGGGCGAGGUUGUGGAUGGCUUUGAAGGUAUACAGGAGGAUUUUGAACUGGAUUCGUAGAGGGACCGGGAGCCAGUGAAGCUGCUGAAGGAUGGGGGUGAUGUGGUGGGACGAGGGGGUUUUGGUGAUGAUACGGGCAGCGGAGUUGUGGACCAGUUGAAGUUUAUGGAGAGACGUGUAAGGGAGACCGAAGAGGAGGGAGUUGCAGUAGUCCAGACGGGAGGUGACGAGACUGUGGACGAGGAUGGAGGUGGUGUUGGGGGAGAGGGAGGGGCGGAGACGUUUGAUGUGGCGGAGGUGGAAAUAGGCAGUGCGAGUGGUAAGGCUGAUGUGGGAUUUAAAAGAAAGAGAACUGUCAAGGGUGGUGGAGCUUUGUAACUUAAAUACCAUGGACACUUGGGCGCUAGAUUUCUGGAACCAUGGGCCUCCAACAACCAUCCUCAACAAGGACCUUGUACACAUGUUUAACAUCACUUAGACUCCCAAAAUAUGUCGUACUUUGUUAUUACCCUACAUGGACUCUCCUUCAGGUCAACAAGAUGUAAGAAGAAUGUUUGGAAACGUGGACGGCUAUAUAUCCCUGGACAGUCUCAGACCAGUCUUUGUUACACUUAUGGCAUGAUGAAGCUGUAACCCAGAUCUGCAACCAGUAAAACUUGUCAACAUGAUAAUUUGUGUGUACACCUAGGCUAGGAUUCCUUACACAUACCAUCUGAUAAAUGCCAAAAUAAAACACCAAAUGCCAAUCCCUGACUGUCUACCAGAUUGUAUACAUCAGAAAUACUUACUGAUGAUGGAUUUAUUAUUAAUGCAAAACAGCAACAUAGUCUAUUCAUGAUCUGUGAGUUACAAAAGGACUUCUAGCUGUUAUGUCUGCAGGUAACACCACAACAAAGUGGAACACAAUUUGUGAAUAUAUGAAGAGCAUCAAACCUGUAAAAAGUAAAACUUUAUAAUCAUGUUGUUUUGAGGCUCAGCAGUCACAGAUAACACUCAAAAUGAGCAGAGAAUCUACCAUGAAAAGUGAAAGUAAACUGUUGUUUCAGUCCAGCCGCUCCAGACUGUGUUACACUUCAAACACCGUCCCAGUGGGCUGGGGCGCAUGACCGCAGAUGUAGCAAAACUGGUGCACAUGCAUCCUCUGGGUUUUCAGGGUAAUACUUCCUCAUUCACAGAUUGUGGAGCUGCUGAUUUUAAAUCAAACUUUGGCUGAGAUUACAAUCAUCAGUCUUGGUAAUAGACAAUGUUUUACAGCCUGUAUUUGGGCUUCAUCUCACCACUAAAUCUGUGUCAAGUAGAGCUGGGCGCAUGAGCAUGAAUAAUAAGCAUCACUUUUUAAUUUAUUCUUAAUGUGGAUGUUUGAAAUUAUCGUAAUCUUUGAAUUCAGUUUUCUCUAACCUCAUUAUUUUCAGUGAUGAAACUGUGAAUUCAGUUUUAUACACUUCACAUUGUUGCCUAACCCAAAUUGAACCCUCUCUUGUCUCUUUUCGGAUUCUGUCUUUUUUUUCCUGCAGGCACGAGUCACUAAUCUUUCUCCAGAGAAACAACCAACUCAUUGAAAUACUGAUGACUUUGAGAAGAUAUUUAAAACGUAAGUCCAUGUUAGUGCCCCAGGCAGAGAGAAAAGCUGCAAUCUCUCUUUAUAAUUUGAGAAAAUCAUGUGUUGUAGUUUGGAUUGGUGCAAGAUUGUUUUUCUGCCAUCUCAUAAUUUGGGACAUUUCAAGCAGCUUAAUGUGGAGGAGAAGUUUCUUGGUAACUAAAAGGAGGAAACAAACAAGCAAUAGGUGAUUUUUCUACCUUCCAACUCUCCUAAUUAAGAGACAAAAGCUUUUUAAAGAAGAGAGAAACACCCAGAUUGGAAAGAAUUGAUUGAUUUUCUUGCUGAUUUGAGUUUGAGGAAUCGAGAGGAGAGUUUUUGAGUUGUUUAAUGCAGCCCUUCCUUCACCUACACAGCCAACAGAGCUACUUCAGAGAUCAAGUAAGUGACAAAAAAGCAGUGAAGUUGCAGUAUUGAGGCACUCUGUCCUUAAAAUGACUUAUUUAUGAUGCUACUGAUGCAGAAUGGCAGCCAGAAGUCAUCCCUAAAUUUGUCCUGGCUUUCAUGAAUCCCAGCCUGUUUCAUCUGAGAAAGCCAUCAAAGCUGAGUCGGAAAGAAAGGCUUGAGGGCACUGUGAUUUGAAGCUACAUUCAUACCUGUCUGCGGCACCUUUUUCACCGUUAAUUACUACAUACGGGAUUCAAACAACUGAUGAAGAAUGAUGCAAUUAAACGUCCCUGGCUUAACACAAGUGGCCCAUGUGAGUGGACUGCAAAGCCACAGUGAGUGUACUGAUCCAGGCCUUCAGUUGUGAGCCAUCAAUGGCUUCUGUCAUCCUUAGGCACUUUAAAGAGUGCUUUGAUUUAAGAACCAGACUAGAUCAGAUCUAGUUGUAAAAUCUGGAUGCAACACCAAUCUUUUAAUUUGAACUAUUCGAAGGUUUAAAGGAAUACUUUUGAAGUGAGGCAGUCUGAGUUACAGGUUGCUGGAUGGUGCAGAAGACACAAUGAAUGCCAAACUGUGUUUCACAUUGAACUGAGCUGCUCAUGGUUGUGUGAAAGGGAGAGCUGUUUGAGGGAAGGGGCCGAGCCCACGCUCUGCCGUUAAGGAAGAGUCGAGGAUGCACUUUAUUUAAUGUAUAGAACCUAACUGGUGAUAACACAUCAAGCAGUACUGUAGUGUUAAAGGGAUAUUCCAGCGUAAAUUUAAGUUAUGGUCAAACACACCA